rnacentral:rRNA from 1 species
AUGGCAUGUGCUAGCCAUGUCCUGGUCUUCCUGUUCAUCUCUCAGUUAGCCCUAGUCACAUACACUACUGCUCUUCUGUGUGACAGUUGUGUAGGGUUGUGUAAGAGUAGUUGUGAGAAAGAGCUCAAUCUGUCCUUGUACCUCCACCAAAUUGCUGCUGGGCCAAACCAUAACCAAGAACAGAUUGUCAGUCCCAGCUUUGCUAAUGGGUUUGGCACAACAGGCGUCAACGACUGGCCACUACUCGAUGCUCCUCAGCCAAAUGCAAACAUUAUUGCUCGCGCGAAAGGCCUGCAUAUCCAAGCUAGCCAAGAAGGUGGUGGCUGGUUUUCUCCAUUCAGCAUGGUGUUUCAGGAGCAGGACUCCAGGUUCAACAGGUCUACCCUACAAGUGAAUGGGAUGAUUGGCCCUGAAGCUACCGGUGAGUGGGCAAUCGUAGGCGGGACUGGAAAGCUAGCAAUGGCUCGUGGUAUCAUCAAGUACAAGUUUCCCCAGAUAGUGACGAGCGUUGAGAAUUAUAGACAACUUGAUAUUCAUGCAUUCUACACCCCACAAGCU